rnacentral:rRNA from 1 species
UAAUACGGAGGGUGCAAGCGUUGCUCGGAAUCACUGGGCGUAAAGCGACCGCAGGCGGCCUGACAAGUCGGAUGUGAAAGCCCUGGGCUCAACUCAGGAAUUGCAUUCGAAACUGGCAGGCUUGAGUACGGGAGAGGGGGGUGGAAUUCCUGGUGUAGGGGUGAAAUUCGUUGAUAUCAGGAGGAACACCGGCGGCGAAGGCGGCCCCCUGGCCCGCAACUGACGCUCAUGGUCGAAAGCGUGGGGAGCAAACAGGAUUAGAUACCCUGGUAGUCCACGCCUUAAACUAUGAAUACUAAGUGUCGGCGGGUUACCGCCGGUGCCGCAGCUAACGCAUUAAGUAUUCCGCCUGGGAAGUACGGCCGCAAGGUUG